CCGUUCUUUGACAUUGCGACGUAAUUUCUCCUGGCAGGAUUUCUUUUCUUUUUCUUUCCCCUUGUCCAUCUCUUCUCCAGAAAAUUUAAACCGGCUACGCAGAAUCCUUCGGAAAAAAACUUUAAACAAAAGAUAUACAGGCUAAUGUAGAAAACAAGUUCGGCAACAUCAUCAUUCAUUAGAUAAAGGGCAGCACAACAAACCUGCCGAAUGGAACCGCAGCACUCAGUGCCAAACAAAUAUAUUUCGCAGCUCUAUACAAGGUCUCAAAAAACGUAUCCUGAUUUUAAAAAAUAUAUAUAAACAUUUUUUACUCCGUUAUCUGAUUGGGAAAGUGUUUUUUGUGCUGUAACUCCUUUUCAAAGUUUUAAGGGUUUGGGGUAUAAUUGGAAUUUACUAAAAAAAGUCGGGCGACGAUUUCAGAUUUUUGUUAUGUAUAUGUAUAUAUAUUUUUGCGAAGCAUAAAUUUACAUUGCAACAGAGUUCGUCAUUUUUGUUGUGUAAAAUAAUGCCAAAUUAUUAUGUUUUCUCUAGAAAUAGAAGCUGGAAAAGAUUAGGUUUUAUCCAUUUGAGAAUGUUAAUCCAGAAUAAAUAGGUUGCAUUACAUGAGAAAAAUAUAUGGUCUGUAAUUUCAUACCAUUUUCACAAUAUGAGCACAUUAUCCUCAAUAUUAAAACGCAUCUAAAGAAAUGCUUUAGAAGGAUAGACGUCAUUCAUAAUUUUAAAGCGUGUUUCUUUUGAUUUGGGGAUAUAGUGAAUUUUAGGUACAUUGUUCUAAGUCUAUUGAUUGAAUGUUAAUCAAAAUUGUGUAAUAUGUCAUUUCUGUUUUGUCUUCCAGUGAAUAACUUUACCGUGAGGCAGUAUCUUAUAAAGUAACUAUUGUACGAUGUCCAUAACCAGCCUUAUGUUAUUGUGGAUUGAUCUUUAUUUUAAGCUGGAUUGUGUUUCUGCAAUAAAAUUUGAAAUCCCUGUUUGAAGAUGAGUGGUGAAAAUGUAUUUGUUUGAGGUUACUUUGGGCAUAUAUUUUGCUGUGUCCUUUAAAAAUAUGUGACAGUACUCUUUAGAACAUUUAGAGCUGUAAAGAUGGUUAUAAAAUUAAUUUUUCUUCUAUAAUCCCAUAGCAUUUUCCCCGUCUUCUUUUUCAAGCCCUCAUACACAUGCUGAGUUUUCCCCUCUCCUAUAUCCAUUUGACUCUAGACCUAAUAAAUGCCCCUUAUGUUUUUUGAAUGUACAUUUCAUCUAGUUUAGACUGAAGGUUCAGUAUUUUCCAACAUCUGCAGUAGGUUUACUGUAGGUUUAUUGCAGUAUCCAUGAUCACUUUUAUUUAUUUAUUUAUGUAUUUAUUUAUUUAACUGAGUGAAAAAGAUAUUGGCAUAUUUUAUAUUUUAGAAACUCCCAUUUCUUGACCUGUGUUGUUAGUUCUUUAGAAUUCAUGAUGUCUGUUAUUAUUUUUGGCCGUAAUCAUUGUUUUUAAGCAGACUGGAAUUCAAUGCCCAGUAUUUGUAUGAAUUCUUUUGUUUUUCGGUUUAAUGUACUUACUUCUGGCCUCUACUCCUGCCGCACAGCAGCAUAACGUGCGUACUCUCAACAUCCUAGUUCUUUGUACUUGCAUAUACCCUUAAAAUUAUAUAAAAUAAUGACUUACAAACAUUUCUAGUUAAGAAUGGCCGUUCGGAACGUAUUUCAGUCGUAAGUAGAGGAGCAUCUGUACUAUUGUAUUUUUUUCUUAAUCGAAACUAAUGUCAUAACGAAACUAGUAAUAUUAUUGUUUCCCCAAUGCAGCCAUUUAAACUGUUGAUAAUUUUUAUGCGUUAAUUUUGGCUACACUAUUGCUUUGACCUGAUUUACUUGUUUUUCAGUAACUAGUAUAUUUUGUAUAAAGAACUAUUAACACUGCAGUGGCACUGUUUCUCUAUUUAGAAAGGGUGGCAAGUGCAUAUAUUGAAAUUUCAAUUCCGUAAUUUUAUGUGGUUUCUUGUAUGACGACUCUUGGUUAUUUGCACCAUGUGCCUUUUCCUUGAAAUGCAGUUUUUCUUAUAUCUGUAAUUACUGAUUCCCUGGAUUACCAAGCUACCUAAGAGUGGCAAAUUAGGACACAUCCAUAAUAAUUAAAAUUUUAAUUAUUAUGUAGUGGAGUAAAUCAAAACUGAGAAACUAAUAUAAACCACACAUAUGUUGGCGGCAGCAUUUUCUAGCAAUACUUGCAUGUUUAAGACUGUUUUGUGCCUCCGUGCUGCUGCUGCCCCAUAACUCCAUGGUCAUGGGCUUGAUUCCCACCCCCGGCUCUAAUUUUUUGAAGUUUGCAUUUCUCCCUGUGUUCUCACAAGUGUUCAUACCUUGUACACCAAAAGUACUUGAUUAGAUACACUGGUGUCCCUCGAUUACCCAUGUUCCCUAAGAGUCAUCCUGUUUGGGGUCCCCCCUGCCUUGUGCCCUGUGUUUCCUGGGAUAGUCCCACCCCCUCCCCUCAAUGGGCAUUUCAGUUUGAUACAACAGCUGUUGAUAGCUUGGCAUAAGACUCGUAUGGGCCCAUGUGGAAACUCUCUGAUAGAGAGCUCAAUGUAACAAACCCAGUAGCCUCCCUAUUGGGGCUGUUGGUGAUGUGCUCUGGGUCUCAAGUCUCAAGUUACCACAGUUCUGUAAAACACAAAAAUGGCUCUUCCCUGAGAGUGGCAUGGCGACUUAGUUGACCCCAAGUUGGGAAAUCCCACCUCUCUCCGUGUAUGUGUAUGGAUUUGUGCAGUAUGUUCUCCCAAUGUUAUGCGGAUUUCCUUUAAGUACUACAGUUUCCUCCUACAGUCUAAAUGCAUGCAGUUAGGUGAACUGCUAUUUCUAAAUUGCCCAUAUAGUGUGGCCUGCAAUGGACACUCCUGCCUUCCCCUUGCAUAGGCUCCAGGCCUAGGUUAGGAUGUUGGAGGAUGGUAGGAUGCAUGAGUUCUCCCCUUUUUAAUUAAAGUUGCAUGCUUGUCUUUUAAUUUUAGAUUUAAAUUGCACAAUAGCGUUCCAGAGUAAAACAUAGACACAGAAUUUGGAACUAUUUUAGGAGCAUAACUACGUGCAAUUUUGUUAUGACGUCGUGCAUUUGAAUUCCUGCUUUUCAUACUGGCUGUGACUUAAGGUUCUGCAAGACUGAAUGUAAAUCAAGAUGGGAGCAAAUGUGCUGAAGCUCACAGUCACUGGCAGCUCCUGUCAUUCAAUCCAUGUCACAUGUUUGUUUAUGGGUGCAUUCAGUCAAAAGGUCAAACUUAAUAAGGCACCCAACCUGGUUCUGUGGGCUUUUCUUUAUCACUAAACCAUACUCCACAGGCCUGUUUUUGCCACACAGUCAAUCUUUUAUGAUUUGUCUAUGUCAAUCUGAAGAAAAUUCACUUUAUUGACCUCAGUGGGUGUUGGUGCCCCCAUCUUUCUACAAAAAAAUCAUGGAUGUAUUUAUUGUUACUGACUCAACAUAGACCUUUACUGAGGUAUACUUCUGUUAUUGAGAAGUAUUGUUUAACAGAAGAUAUUAAAAUACAUAUAUAAUGUUAAUUUAAUGUAAGCAGUUCACAGAAAGACUUUCAAGCAAGUCUGUAAGCCGUUUGUUACACUUUGGAGCUUAUUUCUGUGUCAGGAUUACCUGACUGAAAAAUUGCUUUGGUAAUAGAACAGAACGAGGACCUGGAUGUUACAUGGGAGGCCUGUGACCUCAGUGCUGUUAACCUUUACUUUAGUGAAUGAGUCAGCAGAGGCUAUUGACCUUUACAUAAAUUAACUUUUGUUUCUCAGAUUAGAACAAAUGCAGUGUAUGCUGUUCUGUGCGUAUAUGUAAUGUCUAUGGGAUUACAGCAAUAUCCAUACAUUUCCAGCCGCUAUGUGCAAGAAGCCGCAGAAUGCAUUUACUUGUUUUACAAAGUGUUUCAUAGCAUGUAUCAGUCUGUCAGUUUCCGUUCCGUUCUCUGUAAUCCCCUGCUCCAGCAGAGAAUCAUGGUGAGUGCAAAGACGAGGAAAGUCUGGGGACGUUCUGCCAAUAAGUUAUCAGGGGGUUAAGCCAGCAGUUAUAUUUAAUAAUUAGUUUUAGACUGUUUUUAUUUGACCACUUCCCAUUGCCUUCUAUUGACGGUACCAUCACCUUUUGUUAGUAUCCCCAUCUGCGUGAUCAGCCUCUUUUCCGCUAGACUCUUUUGACCGCAGACUAAAGUAUCGUUUGACCUAUUACUAGGUGUCAGUUAUUAUACUUCUUAGAGCACAUUUGCACAUCUGCCACUCGAUGUGUCCGCAGCUCCUGGUGUCAUUAUGCCUCAGCUCUAAGUCACCAGACUCUCCCAGGAGGGCACUUUGCACAGGGUGUCAUUUCUACACCAUUUAUUGAAUUAGUUCCAGCAUAAGGUGAUUAAUGAUUUGUGACCAGUUUCAGCCCUAAUUCGGUGGAGGAGCUAAUUGAGAAAAGGCUGAUACACAUUUUUGGAAAACAUUUCCUUCAUGCACAUUUCUGCACACUGAUGUUGUACUUACUGGGCUGUUAUUGCACCUACUGUUUGUUGCAACUUGUCAUGUUAUACUUACUGUUUUUGUUGGCACAAUGCUGCACUGCACUACUGUUGUUCUGAACUGUCGUGCAUUAAAUUAUUCUUGCAUCGUU